CGCUGGCGGCAGGCCUAACACAUGCAAGUCGAGCGGAUGAAAGGAGCUUGCUCCUGGAUUCAGCGGCGGACGGGUGAGUAAUGCCUAGGAAUCUGCCUGGUAGUGGGGGACAACGUUUCGAAAGGAACGCUAAUACCGCAUACGUCCUACGGGAGAAAGCAGGGGACCUUCGGGCCUUGCGCUAUCAGAUGAGCCUAGGUCGGAUUAGCUAGUUGGUGAGGUAAUGGCUCACCAAGGCGACGAUCCGUAACUGGUCUGAGAGGAUGAUCAGUCACACUGGAACUGAGACACGGUCCAGACUCCUACGGGAGGCAGCAGUGGGGAAUAUUGGACAAUGGGCGAAAGCCUGAUCCAGCCCUGCCGCGUGUGUGAAGAAGGUCUUCGGAUUGUAAAGCACUUUAAGUUGGGAGGAAGGGCAGUAAAUUAAUACUUUGCUGUUUUGACGUUACCGACAGAAUAAGCACCGGCU
rnacentral:rRNA from 1 species